UGUUUGUCCAAAGAGAGGCAGUUGGCAGGCCACUGCAUAGUCUGGGUAACUCCUCUCUGAAAACAGGAGGCUGAACCACCUAGGAGAAUACAGUAGGAUUGCAGGCACUGCUAAAAGUCCACUGAAGGACUGUGGUCCCUAUUUCAAGAUGGGACCAGUCAGCACAGUUGUUUUUCUGUAGCUUCCUGGGUACAAGUGCAGAGUCAGAGGAAAUGAACUUAACCAGUUAGUAUUGAUAAGCAGUGUUCAAGCUAGGAGGUACUAGAGAACAUGAGAAUUAAGUAACAAGCGACUGGUGGGAAUGAGUGAGAAACUCCAGGUAAACACAGCCCCACGAAAUCUGCAGGUUAGCAGUGGCUGCAACCCCCCUGGAGGCUCUGCUCAUGUCUUCCGGAAGCACAGAGGAUGACACUUCUCUGAGACAAGAAGACAAAUCUGCAAUGUAACCUGAGACUGCAAGACCCUGAGAAUGCCGAAGCAGGAAGAGUGAUCGAGACUGACAAGAGCAUGACCAUGGUGAUCUCUCAGGAAGCAAAAUCAUUCCGUACAUGCAUAAGAAAUUCUGUCCAGAAACUGAACACUUCAGUGCUGAUGAACUUACGAUGAAGUCAACUAAAUGAAGAGCUAAACUUAUAAUCUUAGUUGUCAUUUGGCUCUUGUUUUAUCAAAAUGUAAUUCUAAUAAAAUCAAAAUAAGGGUAUUCUUUUACUUCCUGAGUCUAAGAAAGGCAGGACUCGCUGCAAAUGUCUGUGAAUGUUGUAUUAGACCAUAUACUUUCUUUAAUAAAGCAAACAGUUUAGAGUAAA